GAUGAAGAACGUAGCGAAAUGCGAUACGUAAUGUGAAUCGCAGAAUUCAGUGAAUCAUCGAAUCUUUGAACGCACAUUGCGCCUGCCAGCACUCUGGCAGGCAUGCCUGUUCGAGCGUCAUUUCAACCAUCAAGCCCUAGGCUUGCGUUGGAGCCCUGCGGCUGCCGCAGGCCCCUAAAAGCAGUGGCGGGCUCGCUAUCACACCGAGUGCAGUAGAUUACUCUUCGCUCAGGGCGUGUGGCGGGUUCCAGCCGUGAAACCCCCUACUUCUCAAGGUUGACCUCGGAUCAGGUAGGAAUACCCGCUGAACUUAAGCAUAUCAAUAAGCGGAGGA
rnacentral:misc_RNA from 1 species